rnacentral:rRNA from 1 species
GACGAACGCUGGCGGCGUGCUUAACACAUGCAAGUCGAACGAAGUGGCGAACGGGUGAGUAACGCGUAAUCAACCUGCCCUUCAGUGGGGGACAACAGUUGGAAACGACUGCUAAUACCGCAUCCUGAAGGCGGGGAUUGCGUCUGAUUAGCUAGUUGGAGGGGUAACGGCCAACCAAGGCGAUGAUCAGUAGCCGGGCUGAGAGGAUGAACGGCCACAUUGGGACUGGGACACGGCCCAGAGUCCUACGUGAGGCAGCAGUGGGGAAUCUUCCGCAAUGGACGAAAGUCUGACGGAGCAACGCCGCGUGAGUGAUGACGGCCUUCGGGUUGUAAAGCUCUGUUAAUCGGGACGCGGUACCGGAAUAGAAAGCCACGGCUAACUACGUGCCAGCAGCCGCGGUAAUUC